UACAGAGGUCCCAAGCGUUGUUCGGAUUCACUGGGCGUAAAGGGUGCGCAGGCGGCCGAGUGUGUGAGGCGUGAAAGCCCGGGGCUUAACCCCCGGAAUUGCACCUCAAACUACACGGCUAGAGCAUUGGAGAGGGUAGCAGAAUUCAUGGUGUAGCAGUGAAAUGCGUAGAUAUCGAGAGGAACACCUGCGGCGAAGGCGGGUUGCUGGGCUGACACUGACGCUGAUGCGCGAAAGCUAGGGGAGCGAACGGG
rnacentral:rRNA from 1 species